CCAGGCUGUGAUGAUAAACUUGCCCUCACUGAUCAUGGUUCUGACUGAGUUCUUUUCUCUGAGCCCGG
rnacentral:snoRNA from 1 species